UAAUCACACUAUUUCAGUAAACAGCAGCUCAUGUAGUGUAGAUGUCCAGUCAACAAGGAUGUAGCGUAGACUGUCCAGGCGACACACGUACUUAGGUAUCGUCAUGAGCUAAUGUUCACAUGUAAACAGCAGCUCAUGUAGUGUAGAUGUCCAGUCAACAAGGAUGUAGCGUAGACUGUCCAGGCGACACACGUACUUAGGUAUCGUCAUGAGCUAAUGUUCACAUGUAAACAGCAGCUCAUGUAGUGUAGAUGUCCAGUCAAAAAGGAUGUAGCGUAGACUGUCCAGGCGACACACGUACUUAGGUAUCGUCAUGAGCUUAUGUUCACAUGUAAACAGCAGCUCAUGUAGUGUAGAUGUCCAGUCAACAAGGAUGUAGACUAGACUGUCCAGGCGACACACGUACUUGGGUAUCGUCAUGAGCUAAUGUUCACAUGUAAACAGCAGCUCAUGUAGUGUAGAUGUCCAGUCAACAAGGAUGUAGCGUAGACUGUCCAGGCGACACACGUACUUAGGUAUCGUCAUGAGCUAAUGUUCACAUGUAAACAGCAGCUCAUGUAGUGUAGAUGUCCAGUCAACAAGGAUGUAGCGUGGACUGUCCAGGCGACACACGUACUUAGGUAUCGUCAUGAGCUAAUGUUCACAUGUAAACAGCAGCUCAUGUAGUGUAGAUGUCCAGUCAACAAGGAUGUAGCGUGGACUGUCCAGGCGACACACGUACUUAGGUAUCGUCAUGAGCUAAUGUUCACAUGUAAACAGCAGCUCAUGUAGUGUAGAUGUCCAGUCAACAAGGAUGUAGCGUAGACUGUCCAGGCGACACACGUACUUAGGUAUCGUCAUGAGCUAAUGUUCACAUGUAAACAGCAGCUCAUGUAGUGUAGAUGUCCAGUCAACAAGGAUGUAGCGUAGACUGUCCAGGCGACACACGUACUUAGGUAUCGUCAUGAGCUAAUGUUCACAUGUAAACAGCAGCUCAUGUAGUGUAGAUGUCCAGUCAACAAGGAUGUAGCGUAGACUGUCCAGGCGACACACGUACUUAGGUAUCGUCAUGAGCUAAUGUUCACAUGUAAACAGCAGCUCAUGUAGUGUAGAUGUCCAGUCAACAAGGAUGUAGCGUAGACUGUCCAGGCGACACACGUACUUAGGUAUCGUCAUGAGCUAAUGUUCACAUGUAAACAGCAGCUCAUGUAGUGUAGAUGUCCAGUCAACAAGGAUGUAGCGUUGACUGUCCAGGCGACACACGUACUUAGGUAUCGCCAUGAGCUAAUGUUCACAUGUAAACAGCAGCUCAUGUAGUGUAGAUGUCCAGUCAACAAGGAUGUAGCGUGGACUGUCCAGGCGACACACGUACUUAGGUAUCGUCAUGAGCUAAUGUUCACAUGUAAACAGCAGCUCAUGUAGUGUAGAUGUCCAGUCAACAAGGAUGUAGCGUUGACUGUCCAGGCGACACACGUACUUAGGUAUCGCCAUGAGCUAAUGUUCACAUGUAAACAGCAGCUCAUGUAGUGUAGAUGUCCAGUCAACAAGGAUGUAGCGUAGACUGUCCAGGCGACACACGUACUUAGGUAUCGUCAUGAGCUAAUGUUCACAUGUAAACAGCAGCUCAUGUAGUGUAGAUGUCCAGUCAACAAGGAUGUAGCGUGGACUGUCCAGGCGACACACGUACUUAGGUAUCGUCAUGAGCUAAUGUUCACAUGUAAACAGCAGCUCAUAUAGUGUAGAUGUCCAGUCAACAAGGAUGUAGCGUGGACUGUCCAGGCGACACACGUACUUAGGUAUCGUCAUGAGCUAAUGUUCACAUGUAAACAGCAGCUCAUGUAGUGUAGAUGUCCAGUCAACAAGGAUGUAGCGUGGACUGUCCAGGCGACACACGUACUUAGGUAUCGUCAUGAGCUAAUGUUCACAUGUAAACAGCAGCUCAUGUAGUGUAGAUUGUCCGAUGCACUAAAUGCAGUGAGGUAGUCUGUGAUUUCUAAUAAUAAUGGUAUCAAAACAUUAUAAUUUAUGAAGUGCUGAGAGUAUGUACUUAUCUAAAUUGAGCAUUUGGAUGUAGUUUGUAGUAUAUUAAUAGUUGUUUUGUUGAUUCGGAAUAGAAUAGAAUGUGCAUCUCUUACUUUGAUGUUAUUUUCUGAAAUGUUGCACAUUCCUGCUAUGUUCCUCGGCAAUGC